ACGCGCAGAACCUUACCAACCCUUGACAUCCUGUGCUACUACCAGAGAUGGUACGUUCCCUUCGGGGACGCAGUGACAGGUGCUGCAUGGCUGUCGUCAGCUCGUGUCGUGAGAUGUUCGGUUAAGUCCGGCAACGAGCGCAACCCACAUCUUUAGUUGCCAGCAGGUUAAGCUGGGCACUCUAGAGAAACUGCCCGUGAUAAGCGGGAGGAAGGUGUGGAUGACGUCAAGUCNUCAUGGCCCUUACGGGUUGGGCUACACACGUGCUACAAUGGCAGUGACAAUGGGUUAAUCCCCGAAAGCUGUCUCAGUUCGGAUUGGGGUCUGCAACUCGACCCCAUGAAGUCGGAAUCGCUAGUAAUCGCGUAACAGCAUGACGCGGUGAAUACGUUCCCGGGCCUUGUACACACCGCCCGUCACACCAUGGGAGUUGGUUNUACCCGACGACGCUGCGCUAACCCUUCGGG
rnacentral:rRNA from 1 species